rnacentral:rRNA from 1 species
UACAGAGGUCCCAAGCGUUGUUCGGAUCACUGGGCGUAAAGGGUGCGUAGGUGGCUUGGUAAGUUUGAUGUGAAAUCUCCGGGCUUAACCCGGAAAUGGCAUUGAAUACUAUUGAGCUGGAGGUUUGGAGGGGGGACUGGAAUUCUCGGUGUAGCAGUGAAAUGCGUAGAUAUCGAGAGGAACACCAGUGGCGAAGGCGAGUCUCUGGACGACUCCUGACACUGAGGCACGAAAGCCAGGGGAGCAAACAGG